rnacentral:rRNA from 1 species
GAUGAACGCUGGCGGCGUGCCUAAUACAUGCAAGUCGAGCGAACAGAUAAGGAGCUUGCUCCUUUGACGUUAGCGGCGGACGGGUGAGUAACACGUGGGUAACCUACCUAUAAGACUGGGAUAACUUCGGGAAACCGGAGCUAAUACCGGAUAAUAUUUCGAACCGCAUGGUUCGAUAGUGAAAGAUGGUUUUGCUAUCACUUAUAGAUGGACCCGCGCCGUAUUAGCUAGUUGGUAAGGUAACGGCUUACCAAGGCGACGAUACGUAGCCGACCUGAGAGGGUGAUCGGCCACACUGGAACUGAGACACGGUCCAGACUCCUACGGGAGGCAGCAGUAGGGAAUCUUCCGCAAUGGGCGAAAGCCUGACGGAGCAACGCCGCGUGAGUGAUGAAGGUCUUCGGAUCGUAAAACUCUGUUAUUAGGGAAGAACAUACGAGUAAGUAACUGUGCACGUCUUGACGGUACCUAAUCAGAAAGCCACGGCUAACUACGUG